rnacentral:rRNA from 1 species
AAGCGGAGGAAAAGAAACUAACAAGGAUUCCCCUAGUAACUGCGAGUGAACCGGGAAAAGCUCAAAUUUUGAAUCUGGCGGUCUUUCAGGCCGUCCGAGUUGUAAUCUAGAGAAGCGUCUUCCGCGCUGGACCGUGUAUAAGUUUCCUGGAAUGGAACGUCGUAGAGGGUGAGAAUCCCGUCUUUGACACGGACUACCAGGGCUAUGUGAUGCGCUCUCGACGAGUCGAGUUGUUUGGGAAUGCAGCUCAAAUAGGGUGGUAAAUUCCAUCUAAAGCUAAAUACAGGCGAGAGACCGAUAGCGAACAAGUACCGUGAGGGAAAGAUGAAAAGAACUUUGGAAAGAGAGUUAAACAGUACGUGAAAUUGCUGAAAGGGAAACGCUUGAUGUCAGUCGCGUUCGCCGGGGAUCAGCCUUGCUCUUUUGCUCGGCGUACUUCCUGGUGGACGGGUCAGCAUCAGUUUUGUUCGUCGGAAAAUGGCUAGAGAAAUGUGGCACUCCUCGGAGUGUGUUAUAGACUCUGGUCGAAUACGACGUCCGGGACUGAGGAACUCAGCACGACCUUCGGGUUCGGGGCUUCGGCUCACGUUAACGUGCUUAGGAUGCUGGCAUAAUGGCCUUAAGCGACCCGUCUU